AAUCUCAAACAGCUGUUAGUUGAUAUUCAGCAUGACAGACUGUAGAAUGUAAACACAAAAUUUUGUUCCAGCCCACAAAAUUUAAUAGUUUCUUGAAAUAAGUAUUUUUAGAAUUUAUCUGUCUUCAAAAAAGAGAAAAUGAACAUUUAAUAUCCGAUUUGAUUAAUUUAAUUUUACUGCAACAUGUCAGAUAAGUUGACUACAGUUCUUGCUCACACAGUACUGGCGUUUUCGUCUGGUUACAGUCUAUCAAAUACAGAGUUUGGUUUUUCAACCAUUGGAUUAAGCUUGUAUUUUGCUACUGGUGUGAUGGGUGCUGUUAUUUACGGAGCUCGAGACAUUGGAGGGUCUAUUUAUAAACUCUUGAGUAACUUGUGGGUGCUUAGCAUAGCGUUUGGACUACCAUCGAUAUCUUCUCACCUUUAUGUCAUCAAUAAUUUCCCAGAAGCAGUGAUUGGACUUCAUUUUCUCCUACCAGCUGCUUUUGCCAUUAAUCUUUAUUUUUUCUCCAAAAGGACUAAUUUCAAAUUACUAGAAUCAAUUAAUUUGCCGUACUUAUUAUCGAUAGCUUAUUCAUGUUCUCAAACAAUGAAUUAUCAUGGGUUUGCAUUGGUUAUAAGUUAUGUUAUUGCUUUAUAUGCGAUUGGAACUACUGGUACUGUUAGGAAUAUGCCUUCAAGGGAUCUACUUAGUAUUUCUCUUGCAUUUUCCAAUUACUAUACUGUCAAAACUAUCAACUUUCGUAAUUAAGUGUUCUAAAAUUAAUGAACAGAAUGCUACCUGACUGAACAACAUUUUAAAAAUGUGUAGAUAGGUACCUAAUGGAAUCUAUUUUUGAUUACUUUUAUGUGGAAUAAUCUUUCAUGAUUGAAUGCUGUUUUCAGUGUGUUCAAUGUUAUUAUUAUUAUUGUAGCUGAAUUUUCAGAAGUUACUUAAUCUAUUUUAAAUACAAUUCAAGAAAUAUUUUUAGUCAUUACUGUAUGCCUACUACAAAGGCAGGAUAGGUUUAGAAAAACCGUAUCAAUUACUAGUCAAAAAAUAUUAUUUGUCAUGCUUGAUGAGUAUUUAUGGUUUUGUAGAGCAUAAAUCAUAGAAUAAUUUUUUUCCAUUGCUAUGCUGUUUCAUGAUAUCGUUAAACAUAACUCCAUUCAACUGUAGGCUUCAGCUACACCAUGCUUUGCUAUGGAGGUAGCACAAUGGAUCCAAAACACUAACUUAUCUAUUUGUAGUAAAAUGUUUUCCCUGUGCUCAAGUUAGUUGAUCAGUAACUGUCCAAUUCAUAUUUUAAAUGAUUUGAAUAUUGUAUGAAUUCACUACUAAUUAAUUCACCAAUUAGUAUAUUGCAUUUAUUUAGUAAAAUUGACUGCAACAUUUUUCACUUGAUUCACAAAUGUUGCACUGUAACCUUACUUUAUUAAAAAUAUGAAAUACAAUUCGUCACUUCUGCGCAUGUAACAAGUUUUAUAAUAAUAAUUAUUAAUUGUCUUAUCUAAUUCCUAUUAUUGUAGGCUAUUAUCUAAAAUGAUAGAACAUCUCUUUCAGACUUAAUUUCUGAUUCUGAUUUAGUUCAUGGCAUUUCAGUUCUAAGAGCAGCCAUUUAAUUGGUUGUAAGAGUAACCAAUUUAUUUCUAUCGUCGAUUAAAAAUUACUGAAUUAAUUUAGUAAAUGGGAAAAUUAAAAUUUUCAGAAUAAGAUUCAAAUCACUGCUCAUGAUUACAUAUGAACGGAAUUCAUUUGUAGUCAUAGAUGAACCAUAUUCAUAUUAACCCAUAAUUUAUUUUCUCAACCCAUAAUUUAAUCGCUCAAUCAAUUGAGAAUUUAAUCUGAGGAGCUAUGUUACAGGUCUUGAAAUGCGCGAUAGACACCUUUUAAGAGUGUAUCAAGAUAUAUGGAGUGCUUCCUACAUGUGUGGCUUUCCUCUGAUCGCAUUAGCUUACAAUAUGAAGUAUGAUAUGUGGCCUAUGCCUGCUUUGAUGGCAGCUCCAUUAUUUUUUGAGGCAUAUUUGAUCCUGAGAGGAGAUAUGCUGGAUGCAAAACUGAUCCAUCUUCAUCAUUUAUUAGCUGGUGUGGUCAAUAUUAUUGUGAGUAUGCGUUACAAUCUCGGUGGAUGUUUUCAUAAUGCUCUCUACCCUUUGGCAACUAUUAUUUACGGAGAAACACCUUACCCAACAACAGGCAAAAGAAGUUUGAAUUGGUUGGUUAUCACAAGCAUGGCAAAUUUUCUUUACACUGGUAUUUUUCAAUAAAUAUCGAAAUAAUGUUGUAAUCAAAGAAAGACUGGUUCAAUAAAAGUAUUUUAUUAUGUAUCUGAAUUCUCUGUGAUUUGUAUUUAUAUUUUGGAUCUGUAAAAAUCACAAAUUAAAACUUUUGAGAAGUGAAAA
rnacentral:misc_RNA from 1 species